rnacentral:rRNA from 1 species
UACGGAGGGUGCAAGCGUUAUCCGGAUUCACUGGGUUUAAAGGGUGCGUAGGUGGGUUGGUAAGUCAGGGGUGAAAUCUCCGAGCUUAACUCGGAAACUGCCAUUGAUACUAUUAAUCUUGAAUAUUGUGGAGGUCAGCGGAAUAUGUCAUGUAGCGGUGAAAUGCUUAGAGAUGACAUAGAACACCAAUUGCGAAGGCAGCUGGCUACACAUAUAUUGACACUGAGGCACGAAAGCGUGGGGAUCAAACAGG